AUAUCAAUAAGCGGAGGAAAAGAAACCAACAGGGAUUGCCCUAGUAACGGCGAGUGAAGCGGCAACAGCUCAAAUUUGAAAUCUGGCUUAGGCCCGAGUUGUAAUUUGCAGAGGAAGCUUCUGGUGCGGCACCGUCCGAGUCCCCUGGAACGGGGGCGCCAUAGAGGGUGAGAGCCCCGUAUGGUCGGAUGCCUAGCCUGUGUGAAGCUCCUUCGACGAGUCGUAGGUAGUUC
rnacentral:rRNA from 1 species